rnacentral:rRNA from 1 species
GACGAACGCUGGCGGCGUGCCUAAUACAUGCAAGUAGAACGCUGAAGGAGGAGCUUGCUUCUCUGGAUGAGUUGCGAACGGGUGAGUAACGCGUAGGUAACCUGCCUGGUAGCGGGGGAUAACUAUUGGAAACGAUAGCUAAUACCGCAUAAUAGUAGAUGUUGCAUGACAUUUGCUUAAAAGGUGCAAUUGCAUCACUACCAGAUGGACCUGCGUUGUAUUAGCUAGUUGGUGGGGUAACGGCUCACCAAGGCGACGAUACAUAGCCGACCUGAGAGGGUGAUCGGCCACACUGGGACUGAGACACGGCCCAGACUCCUACGGGAGGCAGCAGUAGGGAAUCUUCGGCAAUGGACGGAAGUCUGACCGAGCAACGCCGCGUGAGUGAAGAAGGUUUUCGGAUCGUAAAACUCUGUUGUUAGAGAAGAACAAGUGCUAGAGUAACUGUUAGCGCCUUGACGGUAUCUAACCAGAAAGCCACGGCUAACUACGUGCCAGCAGCCGCGGUAAUACGUAGGUGGCAAGCGUUGUCCGGAUUUAUUGGGCGUAAAGCGAGCGCAGGCGGUUCCUUAAGUCUGAUGUGAAAGCCCCCGGCUCAACCGGGGAGGGUCAUUGGAAACUGGGGAACUUGAGUGCAGAAGAGGAGAGUGGAAUUCCAUGUGUAGCGGUGAAAUGCGUAGAUAUAUGGAGGAACACCAGUGGCGAAGGCGACUCUCUGGUCUGUAACUGACGCUGAGGCUCGAAAGCGUGGGUAGCAAACAGG